GAAGUAGCGCCUGAGUCAACCUCUUUCCCAGGGCAGCGCUCCGAAGACCACUCGAGCCAGGGGUGGCGGGCCUGUGAAGAUGGGGCCCCCGGGCCCGGCCUCAGCAUAGGCACACGUGACGCGCGUGUGGGCGUUGAGUGACAGGCGCGGCCUUGGGCGGGCAUUGGCGGAAAUCAACUUCCGGGGGCAGAGGUGCUGGAAGCCGGGUGGUGCGUGGUACGUGGGCUACCCCAAGUCGUGUAGCCAGGGCCCUGGUUCCCCGGGUCAGGGUCGCGCCCGGGUGCACGCGUGCAGGGCUGUGUGCUGUGGGUGGCUCACCUGACGGCGUGGGGGAGCGGCGCGGCGGCGGCGGCAGCGGCGGCGGCGGCGAGAGCCGGGGCGCAGGUGCACUUAAAGAAUGGAUGAUGAUGAUUUUGGUGGUUUUGAGGCUGCAGAGAUUUUUGAUGGUGGAAAUGGUGAAACCCAAACUACAUCUCCUGCCAUUCCUUGGGCUGCUUUUCCUACAGUAUCUGGAGUCCAUCUUUCUCCAGCCUCUCCUGAGAUUGUAUUGGACCAUGACCACACUUCUCCUUCGGUUGGCUGCCUCUCUUCUGAGCCCAUCAUUUCAUCACCAGAGAAUACACAUGCAGACAACAGCAUUGUCAGUCAAACUUUUCCUAAAGCACAGAUUCAGCAAUCAGCACACACUCAUCUGGAUAUCUCACUUUUUCCGUUGGGUUUAACUGAGGAGAAAAGUAAUGGAACAAUUGCUCUUGUGGAUGAUUCUGAGGAUCCUGGAGCCAAUGUAUCAAACAUACAGCUUCAGCAGAAAAUUUCAAGUCUGGAGAUGAAACUCAAAGUAUCUGAAGAAGAAAAACAGAGAAUUAAAAAGGAUGUGGAAUCAUUGAUGGAAAAACAUAGUGUCUUGGAAAAAGAUUUCCUUAAAGAAAAAGAGCAAGAGGCCAUUUCUUUUCAAGAUAGAUACAAAGAACUUCAGGAAAAACAUAAACAAGAAUUGGAAGACAUGAGGAAAGCUGGUCAUGAAGCCCUCAGCAUUAUUGUGGAUGAAUAUAAGGCACUACUGCAGUCUUCAGUUAAGCAACAAGUAGAAGCUAUUGAAAAACAGUACAUUUCUGCAAUAGAGAAACAAGCACACAAGUGUGAAGAGUUGUUAAAUACUCAGCAUCAGAGGCUCCUUGAAAUGCUUGCCACAGAGAAGGAACUGUUAAAAGAAAAAAUAAAGGAAGCUUUGACUCAGCAAUCUCAAGAACAGAAGGAAAUAUUGGAAAAAUGUUUGGAGGAAGAAAGGCAAAGAAAUAAAGAAGCAUUAGUAUCUGCUGCAAAGCUUGAGAAAGAAGUGAUGAAGGAUGCAGUUUUAAAAGCUGUAGAAGAAGAAAGAAAAAAUUUGGAAAAAGCCCAUGCAGAAGAAAGGGAGUUAUGGAAGACUGAGCAUGCAAAAGAUCAAGAGAAAGUAUCUCAGGCAAUUCAAACAGCUAUACAAGAGCAAAGAAAAAUUAGUCAGAUAGGCUGCCUAUUUCCUCUCCAUUUGUUAGAUCUGGAAACUGUUAAGGCAGCAAUAAUAGAAGAGCAAAAGCGAAGUGAAAAGGCUGUGGAAGAGGCAGUGAAGAGAACAAGAGAUGAAUUGAUAGAGUAUGUAAAGGAACAGAAAAGGGACGGGUAAAGUGUCACAACUCGGGCUUAGGCCUCCCUGGGGUAAACAUCAGGCAUUCGCCUUGCCGUUGGCCAGAGAGCUGCCUGUGGUCACACAUCAGAGACAAAUUAACACUGGCACCAACCUUGCAUUUGGGAGACAGGGCCUCUCACUGCUGUGGCCUCUCCCGUCGCGGAGCCCAGGCUCCAGACGCACAGGCCCAGUGACCAUGGCCCACGGGCCCAGCCACUCCGCGGCACGAACCCUCCCGGACUGGGAUCCUCCCGGACUGGGGCACGAACCCACGUCCCCUGCAUCGGCAGGCGGACUCCCAACCACUGCGCCACCAGGGAAGCCCCUCCUUUACUUUUCUUUUGUUUUCUUUGAACUUGGGGAGAAAAGAAACUCUGCAUGAAAGGAGGCCUGAGGAGCCACUCAUGAGAUGCCAAAUGAGAGGACAGCACACUUUCUUGGUCAUCUCUGACUAGCUCUCUUGCAUCUUCAUGGUGAUCUCAGUGCUUCUAAUUCCAUUUGGAAAUUUCUGGACUUGUUUUAAGAACUACUUGUGCAGGACAGCUCAGUUAUAUCUGUGAGCCAUAACUGAAUGUCUCUUAUCUCUGAAGCUAUUUCCAAGAUAGGCAAACAAAGGGAGAGGCAGGAAGAAAAUUUCUUUCCUUCUGCAUAUGCAAGCACUGGUUAACCAUGGAGUACAACAAAGGUAAGGUAUUAUAUUGUCUGUAGGACUGGAAAAGCCCUUGCAUCAACCACUGUGUUCACAAAUUGUGUUUUUACUUUUGCCUUUUCCACAAUCUCUCAUUAAAUAUUUCUCCCUCUUCCCAGUGUUAUCUAUCAAUUAUGAAAUGCCAUUUAACUAGAGCAUCUGAGCUCUCAUUCGCCGAACAUUUUUACAGUUUAUUGUUCUUUAUCUAGAUGUCUCAUCCAUUUUAUACAACUUCUUUUAUCAACGAUAAGUGAAAUAUAGAUCUUACAUCUUUACUGCUCAGAGAAAUACAUUCUUAUGGUAACGUAUAUGUGGUUGGGGGCAGUGAUGGUAAGGGGGAAGAAAGAUGGUUGUCAACUGAUUAAAAGGUUAGGCUUAUUGUCUGUCUUGUCAGGACUGUGAGUAGUCACACAGCAUGGAAGCGAGGCAGUAUGGAUUUAUUCAACUACAAAUAUUCAUUUUUUUAAAAUUGAAGUAUAGUUGAUUUAUAAUAUUACAUUAGUUUCAGGUGUACGACUUAGUGAUUCAAUAUUUUUGUAGAUUUUACUCCAUUUAAAGUUAUUACAGAAUAAUGGCUAUAUUUCCCUGUGCUAUACAAUGUAUCCUUGUAGCCUAUUUAUUUCAUACAUAGUAGUUUGUAUCUCUUAAUCCUUUACCCCAUCUCACCCCUCACCCCUCCCCUCUCCACACUGAUAACGACUAGUUUAUUCUCUAUAUCUGUGAGUCUGUUUUGUUAUACAUAUUCAUUUGUUUUAGUUUUUAGAUUUCACAUGUAAGUAACAGAGUAUUUGUCUUUCUUUGUCUGACUUAUUUCACUAAGUGUAAUACUCUCCGUACUAUCCAGAGCAAUCUACAGAUUUUAAUGCAAUUCCUAUCAAAAUAUCCAUGACAUUUUUCAGAGAACUAGAACAAAUAAUAUUAAAAAUUAUAUGGAACCACAAAAGACCCUGAAUUGCCAAAGCAAUCUUGAGAAAAAUGAACAAAACUGGAGAUAUCAUUCUCCCUGACUUCAAACUAUACUACAAAGCUACAGUAAUCAAAAUAGCAUGGUACUGGCACAAAACAAACACAUAGAUUAAAAGAACAGAAUAGAGAGCUGAGAAAUAAACCCACUCACCUAUGGUCAAUUAAUCUAUGACAAAGGAGGCAAGAAUAUACAAUGGAAAAAAGAUAGUCUCUUCAAUACGUGGUGCUGGGAAAGCUAGACUGCUACAUGUAAAAGAAUGAAAUUAGAACAUUUCCUCACACCAUAUACAAAAGAAAAAGCUCAAAAUGGAUUAAAGGCCUAAAUGUAAGACAUGAAACCAUAAAACUCCUAGAAAAAAACAUAGGCAGAACACUCUUUGACAUAAAUCGUGGCAAUAUUUUUUUGGACCUAUCUCCUAAAGCAAAGAAAAUACAAACAUUCUUGAAGGCUUGCUAUGUGCCUCUGCCUAGGGAUAAAACGUUGAUAAGAGUCUACUUCUGGGCUUCCCUGGUGGCGCAGUGGUUGAGAGUCCGCCUGCCGAUGCAGGGGACACAGGUUCGUGCCCUGGUCCAGGAGGAUUACACAUGCCGCGGAGCGGGUGGGCCCGUGGGCCAUGGCCGCUGGGCCUGCGCGUCCGGAGCCUGUGCUCCGCAAUGGGAGAGGCCAAGGCAGUGAGAGGCCCGUGUACCGCAAAAAAAAAAAAAAAAAAAAAGAGUCUACUUCUGCCUCAGGAAGCUUAUAGUCUACAGGGAGGCCAAGUAACCAGUGAUUUUAAAACCCUAUGCUGGGGGACGUCAUGGGGAUGUUUACAGGGUGCUAGAGGAAAAUGUAGUAGUGACAUCCAACUCAGUCUUGGAGAAUCAGGGGUGGUUUUCUGGAAGAGAGGGUGAUAUUUAGGUGAAGCCUGAGUAGAAGCUGCCCAUGUGAAAAGGCAGAGAAUAGCAUCACAGGACUCCAGAGAUGAGAAAAAGUAAGUUUGGGAACACUGAGUAGUUCCAGACAUCUGGAGCAUGGAGUGGGAGUGGCUGACUGAUGACAGCCAAAGCAGGGACCAUCUUCAAUGUCCAGGAGAGCUGAGAUAUCAAGUAGGUAGGGGUCAGAGGUCGAAGUAAACAGGCAUCCAGCCAGGCUGGGGAAUUUUCAUCCUCAUCAGUGCUGAAGUUUGAGGCUGGCAGAGAGGAAAGUGUUAAAAGAAAACUAGAGAGCUUUACUUGAUGUGAAUAUUUUAUUGAGUGAGAAAAAAAUUGUUCACCAUGAGGGGUACUUCAAACCCCAAACUGGUAUGAAGCACAGAGAUAUGAGGUUAUGAGAUGCUCAUAAACUGAAAAUGAGGAAGGUGUUUCCCUUCACAGUGAUUGGUUAUUUCAGUGGUGGUUUCCAGAUGACAGAGGAUUGGUUAAAAGUGAUUAUCUUACUUUUAUGAUGAAUUAAAUUUCUUUUAUGAUUAUCUGUGGCAUUUACAAGAAAUAACCUAAGUUGUGCUUAUGUUCAUGAAACAAGCUAGAUUUAAUUUUGCUUACAUAACUUCAAUGGUUUUAUUGGCUUGGGAGAUUUUCAAGCCUGUUCUCCAUUUUAUUUUAUGAAAAGGAAAUAAAACUUCUGGUGUCUACUA